UUCCCUUAUUUCCUAUCAUAAUCUACCAAUUCAAAAUAUGUCAACUUGCAAUUCCACAUAAAAAAAAUUUUAAGAAAAAUAAUAAUUGAAAGCCAUCUUUUUGGCUGCUGAGAAUGUAGGAAACACAAAGGGAAACGUGAAGUUGACAUUCAACAGUAUGAACCCACCACAAAUUAUGCAGCAAAUUUCUUAAAUUCAAACCCUAGACCAUUGUUAAAUCCACAAAUUUAAAAAUUUUAUUAAAAUAAACCAUAAAACAAUUUCACCAAUUAUUUAAAUCAUUCAAAUUUCCGCCAAAUUCAAGAGACGAAUUUCAAAUUAAAAAGAAAAAGCUAAAGCACUCACCGAAUUGAGCUUAGAGCUUUG
rnacentral:misc_RNA from 1 species